rnacentral:lncRNA from 1 species
AGCCUGGGACUGUUGAUCUCCAGGGUGUGCUACAAGAAGCAUUACUCUGCUCAUAUCAGUGAUGACCGUGACGCCUUCAGAAAAAAGAAUUUGUGCCAGCUCUGUAACAAGUGAGGGGAGAAUGUGGUCGCCUGCUCCUGUAUAACAAAGCUCUGCCAUGCAGGACUGCUCACUGGCACUGACCUGGCACGUAGCUGUGAGACAAGUGACCUGAGACAGAAAUCAAACACAGCAGAUUCUUCCUGGGUGACCGGAGGCAAGGAAUGCAUUGGAAGUGAGCAGAUG